UGUGUGUAUGAAACCCAAAUGGGUAAAGAGAGAGAGAGCUUGGAAGCGAUUUGAGAGAAAGGAAGUUUAAUGAGUGUUUGUGUGUCUAAGUGUUUAAGAGAUUAGUGACCAGACUAAGAACGUGUAUAGAGAUUCAGGAUGAGAAACUAGAGAGACAAAGAGAAAGUUGUUGAGAUGAGAGAAUAAAGAGUUGAUAUAUUGAGAGAGGAAGAGAGUUGGAGUAGACAGUAACUUUGGAGUUUUACUGUGGUAACUUUAGUUUAACCACAGUAACAACUUGGGAAGUUAUCUGAUGGCAUGAGAAGGUAACUUAGUGAAGGGAAGAGAGUAAACUCGACCAAAGAGGAUAAGGAAGGAUAAGGGAGCACUUUGACAGCCUGU
rnacentral:lncRNA from 1 species